ACCCCUUGCCUGAGUGUGACGUCAGAAUCACCAUGGCCAGCUAUCCUUACCGGCAGGUGGCGCCCCUCCCAAUGUGGAUCCUGAGGCCUACUCCUGGUUCCAGUCGGUGGACUCAGAUCACAGUGGCUAUAUCUCCAUGAAGGAGCUAAAGCAGGCCCUGGUCAACUGCAAUUGGUCUUCAUUCAAUGAUGAGACCUGCCUCAUGAUGAUAAACAUGUUUGACAAGACCAAGUCAGGCCGCAUCGAUGUCUACGGCUUCUCAGCCCUGUGGAAAUUCAUCCAGCAGUGGAAGAACCUCUUCCAGCAGUAUGACCGGGACCGCUCGGGCUCCAUUAGCUACACAGAGCUGCAGCAAGCUCUGUCCCAAAUGGGCUACAACCUGAGCCCCCAGUUCACCCAGCUUCUGGUCUCCCGCUACUGCCCACGCUCUGCCAAUCCUGCCAUGCAGCUUGACCGCUUCAUCCAGGUGUGCACCCAGCUGCAGGUGCUGACAGAGGCCUUCCGGGAGAAGGACACAGCUGUACAAGGCAACAUUCGGCUCAGCUUCGAGGACUUCGUCACCAUGACAGCUUCUCGGAUGCUAUGACCCAACCAUCUGUGGAGAGUGGAGUGCACCAGGGACCUUUCCUGGCUUCUUAGAGUGAGAGAAGUAUGUGGACAUCUCUUCUUUUCCUGUCCCUCUAGAAGAACAUUCUCCCUUGCUUGAUGCAACACUGUUCCAAAAGAGGGUGGAGAGUCCUGCAUCAUAGC
rnacentral:sRNA from 1 species